AUCGUGACUCGCCUCCAGUGUGCCGCCUCCGUACGUGCCUAUUAUCCAGAUUCCGGCCGGCCGUCUGAUUCUACCGUUGUAUCUAGUAAUUGUCCAAGGCGGUGAAAAAUCAUAAUGGGGGCUGAGGAGCUGGAGCCGGUUGCAGAGGUCACCAUGUCAUCAUCAUUGAAACUAAAAAAGGUUGGAGUAGACAGAGGAGGAAGAAAAGGCGAUCGACCGAAGCAAACUUGAUGAUAUACCAGCGACGCUCAUGGCCAGGGGUCCUUGGUCUCAAGGCGCACAAGGCCGAGAGGAUCAUCAGGAAAGGCAACCCGUACCUCUUUUGUCAAGUCGUUCUAGAAACAAAGCCGUUGACCAUGGACCACCGCACGACCCGUGUCAGGCUUAUCGUAGACACAUCCAAUCGCGUCGUGGGUGGGUUGGUACCUCAUCUUGUUGAGGGAGGUGUUUCCAUCCUUUAGUACGCCGACAAUACAAUCAUCUUUAUGGAGCAUGAUUUG